rnacentral:rRNA from 1 species
GAUCCUGGCUCAGGAUGAACGCUAGCGACAGGCUUAACACAUGCAAGUCGAGGGGCAGCAUGGUCAGUAGCAAUACCGACCGAUGGCGACCGGCGCACGGGUGAGUAACGCGUAUGCAACCUGCCCUGUACAGGGGGAUAGCCCAUGGAAACGUGGAUUAAUAUCCCAUAGUAAUCAUGAUAGGCAUCUAUUUUGAUUUAAAUCUUCGGAGGUACAGGAUGGGCAUGCGU